rnacentral:rRNA from 1 species
AACGAACGCUGGCGGCAGGCUUAACACAUGCAAGUCGAACGGGCGUAGCAAUACGUCAGUGGCAGACGGGUGAGUAACACGUGGGAACCUUCCUAGGGGUACGGAACAACUCAGGGAAACUUGAGCUAAUACCGUAUACGUCCGAGAGGAGAAAGAUUUAUCGCCCUUAGACGGGCCCGCGUCGGAUUAGGUAGUUGGUGGGGUAACGGCCUACCAAGCCGACGAUCCGUAGCUGAUCUGAGAGGAUGAUCAGCCACACUGGGACUGAGACACGGCCCAGACUCCUACGGGAGGCAGCAGUGGGGAAUCUUGGACAAUGGGCGCAAGCCUGAUCCAGCCAUGCCGCGUGAGUGAAGAAGGCCUUAGGGUUGUAAAGCUCUUUUGGCAGGGACGAUAAUGACGGUACCUGCAGAAUAAGCCCCGGCAAACUUCGUGCCAGCAGCCGCCGUAAAAC